rnacentral:rRNA from 1 species
UACGUAGGGUGCAAGCGUUGUCCGGAAUUAUUGGGCGUAAAGAGCUCGUAGGCGGUCUGUCGCGUCGGGCUGUGAAAACUCGGGCUCAACUCCGAGCUGCAGUCGAUACGGGCAGGCUAGAGUUCGGAGCAGGGGAGGACGUGGAAUUCCGUGGUGUAGGCGGUGAAAAUGCGCAGAUAUCAGGAGGAACACCGAGUGGCGAAGGCAGGUCUCUGGGCGAUUAACUGA